AUUGUAUAACUCACCAAGAACAAACAAAGAUGGGUCUUUGUGAGCUGGGCUUGUGACUACUCUGAGUGGGGACCCCACAGUUGUUUAAACUAGUAUAGACAAGUAAGAGUCCCUUCUGGUCAGGGCAGAGUAACUUGCGUCUACUAAAACUUUUAGGACUACCCCACAGACAACAAGUAUAACCUCUACACAGAGUAUAAAAGUCAGUGUUGAAGACACUAGGGAGUGACCAAAGAGAGAAGGAAUGAUUGACCCUUAGAGGAAAGAGAAUGUAUUGUAGGAGAUAUUGGUUUAUAGUGCUUUCCAUCUUAGGGUACUGCCAGAUCAUAACUUGAUGACUAGAGCUAAAUCAGAAACUGGCAUUCUUAAGGGUUUGUGGAUUCAAAGAACAGAGUUCAGGACUGAAAAGUGCUUGGAAGUUAGUGUGAUGGUGGGGGGUGGUGAGGAAGGGGUAAUACAUUGAUGCUGUAGUUUGAAUAUAUGACCCUUCAAAUCUCAUGUUGAAAUUUGAUCUUAAUGUUGGAAGUGUGGCCUGGUGGGAGAUAUUGGGUCCUGGGAGAAGAUCCCCCAGGAAUGGCUUGGUGCUGUUCUCACUGUAUUAGUUCCCACAGGAACUGCUUAUUAAAAAGAGUCUGGCACCACCCCCUUCCUUCCCCUCUAACCAUGGGAUCUCUGUACACACUGACCCCCGCCCCCCCAACCCCGUUCCUCUUCCACCAAGAGUGGAAGCAGCCUGAAGCCCUCACCAAGGUGAUAGUGAUGUCAGGGUUCUGGUAUAGCCUGUGGAGCCAAGAGCCAAAUAACCCUGUUUUCUUUAUAAAUUGUCCAGCCUCAGGUAUUCCUUUAUAGCAACACAAAUGGACUAAGACAAUGGAAAAGAGAGAGACACAGAAAGAGAAACCCCAAAUCUUCAAAUAAACUAGAAACCUAAUUGUGCACCCCUCAGGGGGAGCCCAAGGCCUGGCAGACACCAAAAGCUGGAGGUUUAACAGAACUGAGCAGAGCUUUUAGCUGCGGCCCAAAACAGGAAAUAGAUUUGGAGUUUGACUACAAAUAUGUUAACAGCCUGCUAGAAGAAAAAAAAAAUCAUCAUUCUUAAAAGGAAGAAAACAGAAUUCAGAGGAAUCUUUAUAACAUAUUAGCUAAAAUCUUUAAUGUGAUACAAUUUUCGAGGUAUGCAAAUGUGACACUAGUCAGGGAAGAAAAUCUAGUCAAUAAAAAUAGACCCCAAGAUGAGACAAAUCUCAUAAUUAGCAGAAAAGUUCAUUGUAUCAAAUAAAAAUAUUUUAUUUUCGUAGAGACAAAGUCUUGCUAUGUUGCCCAGGCUGGUCUCAAAUUCCCAGGCUCAAGCAAUCCUUCCCAUUCAGCC
rnacentral:lncRNA from 10 species